CAAUAUCUACUCUUUUGUUUUGGUCUUUUUGGCUAGAUCUUUAUAGAUUUCCGGUGGUCCUCCUGAUCCCAUAAAUCACUGUCUUACAAUUUCCAAUAUCUACUCUUUUGUUUUGGUCUUUUUUGCAGAUCUUUGAAGAUUUCUGGUGGGUUUAUUAGGGUUUUUAUCCAAUCUUUUUUUUUUAAAUUAUUACUAUAUCUCUCUUUCAUGAAGAGUUUAUCGGUGAGUUCACCGGACUCUGACUUGUUUCCAUCAUCUUGCAGAUUCGACACUUAGCAAAAUUUCCAGCUUAAACACCAGUUUGUUAUCUUGUGUAGCGGUAUGUACAAAGCCAGAAGAAGAUGCAAUCGAGAUUACUUCAUUUUUUUGUAAGUGAGAGUUGGUUUUCGACAUUACAACUAAAUUUCAGAUAUCCAACUUUGUCAUGAAUGCUUUAUUGACGCAUUUAAGAUUUGUCUCGAAUUCGCUGUCAUAUUCACAUGAAGUUCUGUUUGGCAUAAUUUAUUUUGUUAUGAUGUUUUAUGACUACUAUCAAAGAGGAUGAAUAAUUUCAUUCUUAUUAUUGUUUCAAAGAGUAAGUUAAUAAAAUUAAGAUGUG
rnacentral:lncRNA from 1 species